CUACGGGGGGCUGCAGUAAGGAAUAUUGCGCAAUGGAGGCAACUCUGACGCAGCCAUGCCGCGUGCAGGAAGAAGGCCUUCUGGGCCGUAAACUGCUUUUAUUUAGGAAUAAACCCCCGAACGUGUUCGGGGCUGAAGGUACUAAACGAAUAAGCACCGGCUAACUCCGUGCCAGCAGCCGCGGUAAUACGGAGGGUGCAAGCGUUAUCCGGAUUUAUUGGGUUUAAAGGGUGCGCAGGCGGGCUAUUAAGUCAGUGGUGAAAUCCCGGGGCUCAACUCCGGAACUGCCAUUGAUACUGAUAGUCUUGAGUUUGGUUGAAGUGGGCGGAAUGUAGCAUGUAGCGGUGAAAUGCAUAGAUAUGCUACAGAACACCAAUCGCGAAGGCAGCUCACUAAGCCAAAACUGACGCUCAUGCACGAAAGCGUGGGGAUCAAACAGGAUUAGAUACCCGAGUAGUC
rnacentral:rRNA from 1 species